ensembl:lncRNA
AUGACCCCAGCUGACUCUAUAAAUGCUAUUCCUUCUUCAGGUUCCACUCAAAGUUUAUUCUUCAGGGCUUCUCCUGCCUUUUCUCACACCUCCAGCAUGAAUGUCAACUCACACACCCCCUUGGCGAGGCAAAAUCAAAGUGCUAGGCAGCAACAAGAAACCCCAUACUUCAACCUCAACAUCUUCUCUGAUCAGACAGAGGGGGUUUCUAUGCCAGAACACCGUAGCAGUGAGAGACUACGGCCUAUACAGCUGAGAUUCACCCCUCGCUCCUUUCACUGCAGGCCUUCAUCCAACAGCCAAGCCCACCAACAAAAAUAGGGAGGACAAAAGCAACUCUCUGCUUGCCAGUCUCAACAUGGGCAAGAUGGUAUUUCCUGUCCCUGCAUAAACUCUGCUGAAUUUUUGGGGCCUUGGUGAAAAGCCAUCCACUAAAAGUAUUUUCUCUCUCUCGUAACACAAUAUAUAGUUUCAGGAGAUCUAACGUGAUAGACUUAAGUGGUGUAAUAUAUAUUUGCAGGGUCUCUUGUUGAAGGAAAGGUGAUCAAAGGCAGACAGGCUUAUUUCAAGGCUCAGUGUUACUAGGCUAUGACAUUUUCUAGCAGACUCUAUUCUAACUUAUUAAGCAGUUCGUAGAUCAUAAAAUAAACUUGCCAAAAUUGAAAUCAGAUUCAUUUGUUGAGAAGAUAGCAAGUAUUUUUGAAGUUCUCAGCUGCAAUUUAGCCACUGACAACUCAAUGGAAAAGUUCCUUCUUUUUUAUUCCAGUUGCAUAGAAUAUAGGACUACUUUCUCCAUACUGUAUAACCAAAGUUGCUUUCCAGAGUAAGGACGUGACAAGUAUUUCUUUGAAAGAUAAAAAAGAAGCUGUAUUUUUAUCAUUAUUAUUAAGGAAAAGACUAAUUAUCAAGAGAAUCCCUCAGUUAUGGCUAUUUGAACUAAAUCCACCCCUCAGUCUAUUUUAUUUAUCUCCUUCAAUAUCACACAAGUUUGUACAGCCCCAUGUUCCGCCUUCUCUCUCUCUGCACAACUGACCAACUUAUACCAAUAUUUUUAGUUUUUCUAGCAGGGGGAAGAUUGGCAACUGCCAAAAAUCAAAUAUUUAUAACUGUAAUUUUGGGCCACAAUUUUAAAAAUGAAAAACAAAAUCCCAUAAGUAAACAAACGGGGGGAAAGCCAAGGAGGGGUGCGUUAGAGCUAAAAGCCUGGAAGAGCUUAGUCUAAAUUACUUUUUUUUAAUGUGUUCUGUCAGUAAAGGGACUUUGAUUUGUAAAGCCAAAAAAAAAAGUUUCUUCAUUGUAUUCCCUAGGCUGCUGCUUCACUUAGCAGAAUGAAAUAGGAUUGAUACAUGGGAGAGUAGCCAGAUGUUAUAUAUUUUCUGGAUGGAAUUUGAAAAAAGACAUUGUUCCGUAAGUGAAGGUACAGGGAGUCAUAUAAGCCAUGUCACUGUGCCAGUGAGGAAAACACUGACAGAAGCAGGAGUCAAAUAAUUAGUUGGAAGCAGUGAGACAAAGCAGAAUCAACAUGGUUCUCUCAUCCCAGAUACCCCCUUUAAAAUGAGGGAACAGUAGCAGCUUUAGAACUCAAGAACGGCAAGAAAGAAAAAUGCAUCAGGAUUCUAGAAGAAGGAAACAAUUUGGACUCUAUGAGCACAACACAAAGGCUGCAAUUUGAAAGUUCGAUAAGAAAGAAAUUUGUAGGUCCAGCACACUACUGAACGGGCUCAUUCUAUGGAUUCUGGAGAAAGGGUGUGGGAAGCCCCCUAUCCUACACCUUUUUAACUCUGAUUAAACACAUCACUGCAUGGUACAAAUUUGUUUUACUUCAAUUCUAAAACUUGAAAAAACACACACAUAAAUAUGCUGGAACAGAAAAGGGGACCAAAUUCAGUGUUUUGGAACCAUGGCUAAGGGCAGGAAUUUGAUGGAAGAAAACCUCAUAACACAUUUGCCAGUUGCAUCUUGAUCCCUCCCCCAGAUCUAUCUCAGAAGUCCAGAAUCGCUAGCAUCCAU